CCUACGGGAGGCAGCAGUGAGGAAUAUUGGUCAAUGGGCGAGAGCCUGAACCAGCCAAGUCGCGUGAGGGAGUACUGCCCUAUGGGUUGUAAACCUCUUUUGUCGGGGAGCAAAAGCCGGACGUGUCCGGCUGUGAGAGUACCCGAAGAAAAAGCAUCGGCAAACUCCGUGCCAGCAGCCGCGGUAAUACGGAGGAUGCGAGCGUUAUCCGGAUUUAUUGGGUUUAAAGGGUGCGCAGGCGGAUUUUUAAGUCAGCGGUAAAAUCGUGGGGCUCAACCCCAUCCAGCCGUUGAAACUGGGGAUCUAGAGUGUGCGAGAGGUAUGCGGAAUGCGUGGUGUAGCGGUGAAAUGCAUAGAUAUCACGCAGAACCCCGAUUGCGAAGGCAGCAUACCGGUGCACAACUGACGCUCAGGCACGAAAGCGUGGGUAUCGAACAGGAUUAGAUACCCGGGUAGUC
rnacentral:rRNA from 1 species